AACGAACGCUGGCGGCAGGCUUAACACAUGCAAGUCGAACGGGCACCUUCGGGUGUCAGUGGCAGACGGGUGAGUAACGCGUGGGAACGUACCCUUCGGUUCGGAAUAACCCAGGGAAACUUGGGCUAACACCGGAUACGUCCGCAAGGAGAAAGAUUUAUCGCCGAAGGAUCGGCCCGCGUCGGAUUAGCUAGUUGGUGGGGUAAUGGCCCACCAAGGCGACGAUCCGUAGCUGGUCUGAGAGGAUGANCAGCCACACUGGGACUGAGACACGGCCCAGACUCCUACGGGAGGCAGCAGUGGGGAAUAUUGGACAAUGGGCGAAAGCCUGAUCCAGCCAUGCCGCGUGAGUGAAGAAGGCCUUAGGGUUGUAAAGCUCUUUCAGCGGGGAAGAUAAUGACGGUACCCGCAGAAGAAGUCCCGGCUAACUUCGUGCCAG
rnacentral:rRNA from 1 species